ACCGGUUCUUGCCUUUGCCAGGCUUC
rnacentral:piRNA from 1 species